CCUUGCCAGCCCGCUCAGAAACUUAAAGGAAAGUUGACGGGGGCCCGACACAAGCGGUGGAGUAUGUGGUUUAAUUCGAUGCAACGCGAAGAACCUUACCUGGUCUUGACAUCCCGGAGACCCUUAGGAAACUAGGGGGUGCUUCCAUCUGGAAGAAUCUGGAGACAGGUGCUGCAUGGCUGUCGUCAGCUCGUGUCGUGAGAUGUUGGGUUAAGUCCCGCAACGAGCGCAACCCUUGCCUUUAGUUGCCAGCAGUUCGGCUGGGCACUCUAAAGGGACUGCCGGUGUUAAACCGGAGGAAGGUGGGGAUGACGUCAAGUCCUCAUGGCCUUUAUGACCAGGGCUACACACGUACUACAAUGGCCGAUACAAAGGGCAGCGACACUGCGAGGUGAAGCCAAUCCCGUAAAAAUCGGUCUCAGUCCGGAUUGGAGUCUGCAACUCGACUCCAUGAAGUUGGAAUCGCUAGUAAUCGUGGAUCAGCAUGCCACGGUGAAUACGUUCCCGGGCCUU
rnacentral:rRNA from 1 species